rnacentral:lncRNA from 1 species
UCUACUUAGAGGGGGCAUAUAAACAUUGUUAGAAGGACCUAAUGGGUAGGUGUGGGUAAGAGAUACAGUGAUAGCCCCCGCUUUCGUUUGUUGACUUGGCGGUUUGGGGUAGGCUAAUCAAGGGCUUGCACUGGCCGGCGCAUGUCGACCUGUCACAUGUUCCCAGUCGAGUCUCCGAGCUCAAUCUGUGUGUAAAAAUUAUGUGUGGGUAGGAAGUUUAAUUACUCAGCUCAGUUGGUAUGCUAUGCUGUCUAUCUUUUAGACUAUGUGUUUGUAGAGCAAUUAUUUUUGGAGGUUCAGUUAGGAAUUAGAGUUGGUAUGGUUACCAGUUAAAACAAUAAUAAUAAUAAUAAUAAUAAUAAUAAUAAUAAUUUUGCUUAUUGAGAAGGACUAGGUGGUAUUAGUAGGGAGGGAAAAGGGCGAAAUUUAUCUAAGGGAGAAGGGUUAGGGUGUGUCAGUACAAAGUCUCAGAGGAUGGGGAGAGGGAAACAGGUGGUCUGGACUGAAACCAUUCUGUUUCUACAGGGAUUCGAGUGAUAGAGAGAGAAUAGAACUUGCCACAGUGACUAGCCAGAGAAACUCUCCUCACCUGUUGUUUUUCAUCCUCUGAUACAAAAAAAGGGGGUGGGGGUGAUUAAGUUAAGAUAGAGGUUAGUAAGGUUAGGGGUUAGGGUUAGAUUUAGGGUUUAGAGGUUAGGGUUAGGGUUAGGGUAAGGGUUAGGGUUAGAUUUAGGGGUUAGGGUUAGGGUUAGAUUUAGGGUCUAGAGGUUAGGGUUAGGGUCAGGGUUAGGGUUAGGGUUAGAUUUAGGGUUUAGGGUUUAGGGUUUAGGGUUAGGGUUAGGAUAUAGGGGUAUGUGCCACUUUUGACAUGCCGGUUCAUUGCCUUUCCCAUUGAUGAACCGGGCUGAGAUUUGGCCUACCCCCUCAUUUUCGGGUAUGCUGAAUCUAGAAAUAGUAAUGAACCAGCAAUCGGACAUUCCUAUCAAAAGUUAUGGCGAAGUGAAAAUUUCCCAUUGAAAAUGAAUGGGAGCGGAAAAUGGCCAAAGUCAGUGUUUGCAAGUGUUCUACUUGUGUGGAAAUGUUGAAAAUGCAUUGUGAGCACGUUUCAGGCCAUUUCCUGUCAUUUGAGGGCGACUUUGCAAAAAGGGGUGUCAUACCGCUUUUGACCAGAGGUGGCGCUGCACCAGUUCGAGGGUUAGGGUUAGGGUGAGACUUAGGGCUAGGGGUUAGGGUUAGGGUUAGGGUUGGAGUUAGGGUUAGUGUUGGAGCUAGGGUUAGGGUUGGGCUUGGAGCUAGGAUUUUUCUGAGUGCAAUGAACCAACUCCCGAGUCUCUAGGACGUUCCUAAAAAAAUUUGAUUUUUUUCCCAUAGGAAUGCAUGGGUAAGGGUUAGGGUUAGGGUUGGAGCUAGGGUUAGGGUUAGGGUUAGGGUUGGAGUUAGGGUUAGUGUUGGAGCUAGGGUUAGGGUUGGGCUUGGAGCUAGGAUUUUUCUGAGUGCAAUGAACCAACUCCCGAGUCUCUAGGACGUUCCUAAAAAAAAUUUGAUUUUUUUCCCAUAGGAAUGCAUGGGUUAGGGUUAGGGUUAGGGUUAGGGUUGGAGCUAGGGUUAGGGUUAGGGUUAGGGUUGGAGUUAGGGUUAGUGUUGGAGCUAGGGUUAGGGUUGGGCUUGGAGCUAGGAUUUUUCUGAGUGCAAUGAACCAACUCCCGAGUCUCUAGGACGUUCCUAAAAAAAAUUGAUUUUUUCCCAUAGGAAUGCAUGGGUUAGGGUUAGGGUUAGGGUUGGAGCUAGGGUUAGGGUUAGGGUUAGGGUUGGAGUUAGGGUUAGUGUUGGAGCUAGGGUUAGGGUUGGGCUUGGAGCUAGGAUUUUUCUGAGUGCAAUGAACCAACUCCCGAGUCUCUAGGACGUUCCUAAAAAAAUUUGAUUUUUUCCCAUAGGAAUGCAUGGGUUAGGGUUAGGGUUAGGGUUGGAGCUAGGGUUAGGGUUAGGGUUAGGGUUGGAGUUAGGGUUAGUGUUGGAGCUAGGGUUAGGGUUGGGCUUGGAGCUAGGAUUUUUCUGAGUGCAAUGAACCAACUCCCGAGUCUCUAGGACGUUCCUAAAAAAAUUUGAUUUUUUCCCAUAGGAAUGCAUGGGUUAGGGUUAGGGUUAGGGUUGGAGCUAGGGUUAGGGUUAGGGUUAGGGUUGGAGUUAGGGUUAGUGUUGGAGCUAGGGUUAGGGUUGGGCUUGGAGCUAGGAUUUUUCUGAGUGCAAUGAACCAACUCCCGAGUCUCUAGGACGUUCCUAAAAAAAUGUGAUUUUUUCCCAUAGGAAUGCAUGGGUUAGGGUUAGGGUUAGGGUUAGGGUUGGAGCUAGGGUUAGGGUUAGGGUUAGGGUUGGAGUUAGGGUUAGUGUUGGAGCUAGGGUUAGGGUUGGGCUUGGAGCUAGGAUUUUUCUGAGUGCAAUGAACCAACUCCGGAGUCUCUAGGACGUUCCUAAAAAAAUUUGAUUUUUUCCCAUAGGAAUGCAUUGGUUAGGGUUAGGGUUAGGGUUGGAGCUAGGGUUAGGGUUAGGGUUAGGGUUGGAGUUAGGGUUAGUGUUGGAGCUAGGGUUAGGGUUAGGCUUGGAGCUAGGAUUUUUCUGAGUGCAAUGAACCAACUCCCGAGUCUCUAGGACGUUCCUAAAAAAAUUUGAUUUUUUCCCAUAGGAAUGCAUGGGUUAGGGUUAGGGUUAGGGUUGGAGCUAGGGUUAGGGUUAGGGUUAGGGUUGGAGUUAGGGUUAGUGUUGGAGCUAGGGUUAGGGUUGGGCUUGGAGCUAGGAUUUUUCUGAGUGCAAUGAACCAACUCCCGAGUCUCUAGGACGUUCCUAAAAAAAUUUGAUUUUUUCCCAUAGGAAUGCAUGGGUUACGGUAAGGGUUAGGGUUGGAGCUAGGGUUAGGGUUAGGGUUAGGGUUGGAGUUAGGGUUAGUGUUGGAGCUAGGGUUAGGGUUGGGCUUGGAGCUAGGAUUUUUCUGAGUGCAAUGAACCAACUCCCGAGUCUCUAGGACGUUCCUAAAAAAAUGUGAUUUUUUCCCAUAGGAAGGCAUGGGUUAGGGUUAGGGUUAGGGUUGGAGCUAGGGUUAGGGUUAGGGUUAGGGUUGGAGUUAGGGUUAGUGUUGGAGCUAGGGUUAGGGUUGGGCUUGGAGCUAGGAUUUUUCUGAGUGCAAUGAACCAACUCCCGAGUCUCUAGGACGUUCCUAAAAAAAUUGAUUUUUUCCCAUAGGAAUGCAUGGGUUAGGGUUAGGGUUAGGGUUGGAGCUAGGGUUAGGGUUAGGGUUAGGGUUGGAGUUAGGGUUAGUGUUGGAGCUAGGGUUAGGGUUGGGCUUGGAGCUAGGAUUUUUCUGAGUGCAAUGAACCAACUCCCGAGUCUCUAGGACGUUCCUAAAAAAAUUUGAUUUUUUUCCCAUAGGAAUGCAUGGGUUAGGGUUAGGGUUAGGGUUGGAGCUAGGGUUAGGGUUAGGGUUAGGGUUGGAGUUAGGGUUAGUGUUGGAGCUAGGGUUAGGGUUGGGCUUGGAGCUAGGAUUUUUCUGAGUGCAAUGAACCAACUCCCGAGUCUCUAGGACGUUCCUAAAAAAAUUUGAUUUUUUCCCAUAGGAAUGCAUGGGUUAGGGUUAGGGUUAGGGUUGGAGCUAGGGUUAGGGUUAGGGUUAGGGUUGGAGUUAGGGUUAGUGUUGGAGCUAGGGUUAGGGUUGGGCUUGGAGCUAGGAUUUUUCUGAGUGCAAUGAACCAACUCCCGAGUCUCUAGGACGUUCCUAAAAAAAUUGAUUUUUUCCCAUAGGAAUGCAUGGGUUAGGGUUAGGGUUAGGGUUGGAGCUAGGGUUAGGGUUAGGGUUAGGGUUGGAGUUAGGGUUAGUGUUGGAGCUAGGGUUAGGGUUGGGCUUGGAGCUAGGAUUUUUCUGAGUGCAAUGAACCAACUCCCGAGUCUCUAGGACGUUCCUAAAAAAAUUUGAUUUUUUCCCAUAGGAAUGCAUGGGUUAGGGUUAGGGUUAGGGUUGGAGCUAGGGUUAGGGUUAGAGUUAGGGUUGGAGUUAAGGUUAGUGUUGGAGCUAGGGUUAGGGUUGGGCUUGGAGCUAGGAUUUUUCUGAGUGCAAUGAACCAACUCCCGAGUCUCUAGGACGUUCCUAAAAAAAUGUGAUUUUUUCCCAUAGGAAUGCAUGGGUUAGGGUUAGGGUUAGGGUUGGAGCUAGGGUUAGGGUUAGGGUUAGGGUUGGAGUUAGGGUUAGUGUUGGAGCUAGGGUUAGGGUUGGGCUUGGAGCUAGGAUUUUUCUGAGUGCAAUGAACCAACUCCCGAGUCUCUAGGACGUUCCUAAAAAAAUUUGAUUUUUUUCCCAUAGGAAUGCAUGGGUUAGGGUUAGGGUUAGGGUUGGAGCUAGGGUUAGGGUUAGGGUUAGGGUUGGAGUUAGGGUUAGUGUUGGAGCUAGGGUUAGGGUUGGGCUUGGAGCUAGGAUUUUUCUGAGUGCAAUGAACCAACUCCCGAGUCUCUAGGACGUUCCUAAAAAAAUUUGAUUUUUUCCCAUAGGAAUGCAUGGGUUAGGGUUAGGGUUAGGGUUGGAGCUAGGGUUAGGGUUAGGGUUAGGGUUGGAGUUAGGGUUAGUGUUGGAGCUAGGGUUAGGGUUGGGCUUGGAGCUAGGAUUUUUCUGAGUGCAAUGAACCAACUCCCGAGUCUCUAGGACGUUCCUAAAAAAAUUUGAUUUUUUUCCCAUAGGAAUGCAUGGGUUAGGGUUAGGGUUGGAGCUAGGGUUAGGGUUAGGGUUAGGGUUGGAGUUAGGGUUAGUGUUGGAGCUAGGGUUAGGGUUGGGCUUGGAGCUAGGAUUUUUCUGAGUGCAAUGAACCAACUCCCGAGUCUCUAGGACGUUCCUAAAAAAAGUUGAUUUUUUCCCAUAGGAAUGCAUGGGAACAAAAAAAUUGAAAAAUUUUGUAAGUGCCGACGCAAUUUUUCACCUUACAGGAUUGUGUUAGGAGCACGUUUCAGGCCACGGGGAGUCUAUAGAGUGUACUGAGUGUGUAUCCUUUUCAUCUGAACGCUUGGAAGAGGUUGGUACCUUUACUCAAGAGUGACAUAAAGAAUGUGACAGGAAGUGUUUACACAUUUGUUCCAGGAGCAAAUCUCAGAUGGGACUCAGAUAAUGCCAGUUUUCAAUGAGAAUUUCUAAUUUGUCUACAAAGAAAAACAAGUUUGUGAUGAAAACCCUGUGAAAUGUGCUUCAUCCUCACACAAAGAAUAAUUUAAAACAUGCUGUGAAGAGUUUUGUUAUAGAACUGAAACAGCUUCGGGUUAGAAGCAGAGUAGACUGUCAGAGAAACGACAUCUCAUCUUAAAGAUAAAAAGAUUAGUUUCAGAUAAAUACAUGUCAUUAUAUCCACAGGGGGGCUCUCAGUUUAACACAGUUACUCUAGUAAAGUUUAGAGAACAGCAGCAAAUUUAAUUAAUAAUUCAUGGUUGAGUUUGUCUAAUGUGCCCGUUAUUUGUUCGAGGCUGCGAAUUGCUGCCAAAUGGAGGAUUGGAACAAACUCAAGUUCUCUUCAAUCUUUGACUUAAUAAAUCAUUAUUAACAGCAAGACUGGUACCCCUACUUCUGACCCUAAAAAAUUUAAAACUUAAUAACAAAAUGGCACCAGUACAGUAAAAAUCAAUAACAAAUGUAAGGUUAAAAAAACAAAAUCAAAACCUUUGAAGGUUGAAAAGAUAAUAGACAGGAAAUGAAUAAAUAAAUAAAACCAGGACAGUUGUAAUAAUGUAGUCUAAGGUUAAAAAGAAAGAAGAAACUAUUCUGAACUAUAAGCCGGAUUAAAAAGGUAGAUACCCAGAGAGCUUGUGUUGUUUAUGUCCAGAGAGUUUUGGUGCAUAAAAACAGAAAGCUCUCCAGCUGAAGCUUUUAUGGGACACAUGAGGAUCAUUUAAAAGGGAAGCAUUUAUUCAACUGACUGCUGCAAAUUUCAUUUCUUUUAGCUAACCCCAUAGUUUAGGAAGUGCUGGUGCUUGUUGUUUCCUCAACUGUUGAAAAGGAGUUUGUCCUUGUCAUCAUACAGAUUAUUUCUGUUGAGUGACAUUGACCUUAGAGAGCGGAGGCUGGCUCUGCUGAAUAUCAACACUCCAUAUGAAACAAUGAGACUAUAGUUUAUCAUAAGUUUUCUCUAAUGUCUCUCUUUUUUAUUUUGAACUAUACAUAGGAUACCUAUGCCCUAAUAAAAGGAAACCCACCAAGUUACGCGCUGACAGGGAUCCUCUGUGGGUAACAUACUUAGUACGUGAAACAACCCUACUUAAAAUAUAUAUAUAUAUAUAAAUACAUUUUAGAGCAUCUUUAAUCUCACAUACUUUGUUUUAAGAUGUGCCCCUGUCUUUUAAACAGUCAUGAAGAUGCUACAGUAGAACACAAUUAGAUAAUGUAAUGUCUCCUUUUUAUUAAACUGUAGGUUAAUUGUAUCCUGUCAAAAACCUCUGCUGGGGUUUUUCAUCUCCUGGCUGACUCACCGAGCACAAACAGCCGCUGUUCCUUUUUCCCAGCCCGAUUUGUUGUGGAGGUAUAUUUGGCUCAGUACUCGGUGUAAGACCGUUUGAUGUUAUCUGCUGUGGUAGAGAACAAGCAGCACUAAGACAGGCAAUAAAAGCCUCUGCAAAGUGCACCUGAGACAAUGUCUGCCAAUAAUUGUGUGUAUGCUGGGGUUAAACCAUAAUGACUGUGGUCAUUAAAUGUCACCUAACAUUUAUCACUCCCACUAAAUAUCAUUUGAUCUUUUUUCCCUGGCUUGUGCACGUGUACUUAGAAACAGUUUAUGACCAAACUUGGAGAGCAGCAGUGAGACAGACACAUAGGUGGGAGAGAAUUGUGCUGCUGACCUGUGUUUUAUUAGGAACUUGUGGUUCUCUUCCUGUCCCUCAUCACAGCAUGAUUUUUUUAAUACAAGGGGUUAAAAUCUCUGACCCGGUUUUAAAUGUCGAAGGCAGGUUUGGCAGAGCGCUUUGGAGGACUGUAUGAGAUAUGUUUCCUUCUGCUCACAUUACUACAAAAACCACACAGGGCAGCAAGAGCC